GACGAACGCUGGCGGCGUGCCUAAUACAUGCAAGUCGAGCGGACGGAUGGGAGCUUGCUCCCAGACCGUCAGCGGCGGACGGGUGAGUAACCCGUGGGCAACCUGCCUGUAAGACUGGGAUAACUCCGGGAAACCGGGGCUAAUACCGGAUAACUCUUUCCCUCACAUGAGGGAAAGCUGAAAGAUGGCAUCUCGCUAUCACUUACAGCUGGGCCCGCGGCGCAUUAGCUAGUUGGUGAGGUAACGGCUCACCAAGGCGACGAUGCAUAGCCGACCUGAGAGGGUGAUCGGCCACACUGGAACUGAGACACGGCCCAGACUCCUACGGGAGGCAGCAGUAGGGAAUCUUCCGCAAUGGGCGAAAGUCUGACGGAGCAACGCCGCGUGAGUGAUGAAGGUUUUCGGAUCGUAAAACUCUGUUGUCAGGGAAGAACAAGUGCCGGAGUAACUGCCGGUACCUUGACGGUACCUGACCAGAAAGCCACGGCUAACUACGUG
rnacentral:rRNA from 1 species